CAGUAGCCACGGUAAUACGAAGGGGGCUAGCGUUGUUCGGAUUUACUGGGCGUAAAGGGUGCGUAGGCGGAUUGUUAAGUCAGGGGUGAAAUCCCGAGGCUCAACCUCGGAACUGCCUUUGAUACUGGCGAUCUUGAGUCCGGGAGAGGUGAGUGGAACUGCGAGUGUAGAGGUGAAAUUCGUAGAUAUUCGCAAGAACACCGGUGGCGAAGGCGGCUCACUGGCCCGGUACUGACGCUGAGGCACGAAAGCGUGGGGAGCAAACAGGAUUAGAUACCCCAGUAGUCCCUGUCUCUUAUAC
rnacentral:rRNA from 1 species